UGGGGAAUAUUGGACAAUGGGGGCAACCCUGAUCCAGCCAUGCCGCGUGUGUGAAGAAGGCCUUUUGGUUGUAAAGCACUUUAAGCAGUGAAGAAGACUCCAUGGUUAAUACCCAUGGACGAUGACAUUAGCUGCAGAAUAA
rnacentral:rRNA from 1 species